rnacentral:rRNA from 1 species
UACGAAGGGUGCAAGCGUUACUCGGAAUUACUGGGCGUAAAGGGUGCGUAGGUGGUUGUUUAAGUCUGCUGUGAAAGCCCCGGGCUCAACCUGGGAAUGGCAGUGGAUACUGGACAGCUAGAGUGCGGUAGAGGGUAGUGGAAUUCCCGGUGUAGCAGUGAAAUGCGUAGAGAUCGGGAGGAACACCAGUGGCGAAGGCGGCUACCUGGACCAGCACUGACACUGAAGCACGAAAGCGUGGGGAGCAAACAGGG